rnacentral:rRNA from 1 species
AGUUGUUAGAUACCGGCGUAAAGCGUGGUUAAGAUAAUACCUCACUAAAGCCAAACACCUCCCAUACUGUUAUACGUUCACGGAGAUAGGAGACCCAAUCACGAAAGUAGCUUUACAAAAUCUGAACCCACGAAAGCUAGGGAACAAACUGGGAUUAGAUACCCCACUAUGCCUAGCCAUAAACAUAGACAGUACACAUACCCCACUGUCCGCCCGGGAACUACGAGCAUAAGCUUAAAACCCAAAGGACUUGGCGGUGCUUUAAACCCACCUAGAGGAGCCUGUUCUAGAACCGAUAAUCCCCGUUCAACCUCACCCUUCCUUGUUCUUUCCGCCUAUAUACCACCGUCGUCAGUUUACCCUAUGAAGGUCAAAUAGUAAGCACAAUCGGCACAGCCCAAAACGUCAGGUCGAGGUGUAGCGUAUGGAAGGGGAAGAAAUGGGCUACAUUCCCUGAUACCAGGGCAUACGGAUUGUAUGCUGAAACGCAUACCUGAAGGAGGAUUUAGCAGUAAGCGGGAAGUAGAGUGUCCCACUGAAGCUGGCUCUGAAGCGCGCACACACCGCCCGUCACUCUCCCCGAGCUAAGAUUUUAUUUUAACUAAAACCCUACAA